rnacentral:lncRNA from 1 species
CCAGUGACAGGGCGGGGUUGUCAAUCCCAUCUUUGGGGUUAAAUUCAAAUUUUAUGAUGGAUGCUUUGUCGCCCUCGAGCCCUGCAGAGGGAGAGGAGAGGUCAGCGCAGAGGGUAGGGAGCUGGGAGCAGAGCUGGGUGCUCAGGGCUCACCUGUUCACACGGUGUGCAGGGUCUGCACAGCCCCUCAGGACUUUUGGGUGGGGGUGAGGAG